UCCCCAUUCAAAGAGAUAGGAGCUGCACUUGAAUACCCGAGAGGCAUUUCAAAGAUGGCCGCCGAGUGAAUGACUUUAGCUAAACUCUGCAGGACUGUGGCUCUCCAGGACCGAUGUUAUCCACCCCUGGUCUAUGGUGUGAUUUGUCGUGGACUGGUUGUGAUGGGUCGCUCCGUACCAGAAAGUCCAGGGCCACUUUUUAGCCCUAAUCCGCCCCUGGUUAAAUAGGUAGUCCUAUAUCAUCUUACACUACAAAGUGUCAUAUAGUAUUGCCAAAGUAUGUGAAAUGUGAAGAAACCUGGUUCAGACCAGUAUAAAACAAGACAGUGUAAAGAACAGUAUGGCAUCUAUCCACACACAUAUCCCAUCUGCCCACAGCUUAACCUCUGCUACAGCAAGAUGAGGUGAAAUGUCUGACAGCGAUCCACUGGGUGAGAUGAAUUUUUGUUUUGUCCUGAGAAAUGAAAAAAGGAUUCUACAUAAUUCAGCUCUUUGUUUCAUCAGUGACCUGGAGAAGGUCAUAAAGUUUUUUUUCUCCAUUUACUAGCAGACUUCAAAGCGCUUGUGUGUGUGUUUGACAGAGAAUAUAUAAAACUGUGGGUUGCACUGGAUGAAAGCGAUCAUCAUUCAUGUGAGAGCAACACAAAGAGACAGAUAGAAGGAGUCCGAGCGGGAAACGAGGAAGUAUGUUUCUGUAUCAGAGACAUUGAGAGAGUGUAUUUAUGUGAUAGAUGCUGGUCCAAGCUGGUUUGGUGUUGGUGCAGUCAUGUUAUUCACCAGCAAAAAAUGUAUUUAUGAUUUAUAUGGGGCUGAGGCGCAGGGACCUGGAAACCCUAGCGAUGGCCCUGCUUCCUGAUGAAACUGUUUGACCAUAUGAGGCUCGCUUAAGAUAGUUUGGGACACUAGCAUCUCAUGUUGGGGACGUCAUUAAAAACAAAAGAGGAAGAGUUCUCUCUGCCAAAAAACAUGUAGCCCUGCCUGAGCGUGGCCCAUCCUGUUCAACCCUGUACCACAUUUUACAUCUGGGUCACAUCAAAGUAACCAGACAUGGACCUGGAAGACAGCCGGCUGGCACUCUGUCCAUAUCCAGUCACAUUCCUGUAACACGGAAGCACUACUGCAUUCACUGCGUCAACUGCGUAGAAGACUGACAGGGAAGAGGAAAGAUUGUUGAAUAAAGUAGUUAUUUUUGUUUUGUUUUUGUGCACAAAAAAGUAUUCUCAUCGCUUCAUAAAAUUAAG